rnacentral:rRNA from 1 species
AGGAGCCUCAGUGCUUGCACAGAGGAUUUCCUAGUGGCGAACGGGUGAGUAACGCGUUGGUGACCUGCCCCGAAGAGGGGAUAACUCCGGGAAACUGGAGCUAAUACCCCAUGUGGUCAUAGUUUUUAGAAAACUAUGUCUAAAGGAGUAAUCCGCUUCGGGAGGGGCCUGCGUCCCAUCAGCUAGUUGGUAGGGUAAUGGCCUACCAAGGCAUACGGGUAGGGGACCUGAGAGGGUGGCCCCCCACACUGGAACUGAAACACGGUCCAGACACCUACGGGUGGCAGCAGUAGGGAAUAUUGCACAAUGGGCGAAAGCCUGAUGCAGCAACGCCGCGUGCGCGAUGAAGGCCUUCGGGUUGUAAAGCGCUUUUCUGAGGGAAGAGGAAGGACUGUACCUCAGGAAUAAGUCUCGGCUAACUACGUGCCAGCAGCCGCGGUAACACGUAGGAGGCAAGCGUUAUCCGGAUUUACUGGGCGUAAAGCGCGUGUAGGCGGCUUGGCAAGUCGGAUGUGAAAGCUCCUGGCUCAACUGGGAGAGGUCGUUCGAAACUGCCAGGCUCGAGGACGGUAGAGGGAGGUGGAAUUCCCGGUGUAGUAGUGAAAUGCGUAGAUAUCGGGAGGAACACCAGUGGCGAAGGCGGCCUCCUGGGCCGUUCCUGACGCUAAGACGCGAAAGCAUGGGUAGCAAACGGGAUUAGAAACCCCGGUAGUCCAUGCCGUAAACGAUGCGAACUUGGUGUCGGUGGUGUAAAAACUGUCGGUGCCGAAGCUAACGCGAUAAGUUCGCCGCCUGGGGAUU